AGUGAACGCUGGCGGUAGGCCUAACACAUGCAAGUCGAACGGCAGCACAGUAAGAGCUUGCUCUUACGGGUGGCGAGUGGCGGACGGGUGAGGAAUACAUCGGAAUCUACUUUUUCGUGGGGGAUAACGUAGGGAAACUUACGCUAAUACCGCAUACGACCUACGGGUGAAAGCAGGGGAUCUUCGGACCUUGCGCGAUUGAAUGAGCCGAUGUCGGAUUAGCUAGUUGGCGGGGUAAAGGCCCACCAAGGCGACGAUCCGUAGCUGGUCUGAGAGGAUGAUCGGCCACACUGGAACGGAGACACGGUCCAGACUCCUACGGGAGGGAGCAGUGGGGAAUAGUGGACAAUGGGCGCAAGCCUGAUCCAGCCAUACCGCGUGGGUGAAGAAGGCCUUCGGGUUGUAAAGCCCUUUUGUUGGGAAAGAAAAGCAGCAGGUUAAUACCCCGCUGUUCUGACGGUACCCAAAGAAUAAGCACCGGCUAACUUCGUG
rnacentral:rRNA from 1 species